GUGUUUCCUUGUUUAUUUCCCUUUCAUUUUCCAGAUCUAUUUAUAAAGAGCAAUCAUAUCUCCCCUCAGCAGAGUGCAGGACAGAGUCACAAACCCGAGCAGGAACAGGUCUCCUCACGACAUUAUCUAAGGAGGAAGGAGAAGAUCAUCUUCUGUUUUCAGCAGAGGAGAGGAAACUGCUAUAGAAUCAAACUUUAACAAAAACUGACAAAGUCGUCUUUCCCCCUGAAGACAAAACUCCCAGUACAGCCUGAUCACUAGGAUAGCUGACAAUAAAAAUUCCUAUCAAAUCGUACAUCAGGAAUAAGGAGAAAGAAUAUUGCAGAAAUGAAAAAUGUCUGGAGGAAGGCUACAAGUAUGGUCAGAGUUGGGAAAGACUUCCAUCUGAGCAGAGACUUAAAAGCCCUACCACAUAUCCUGUUCUAAGGAGCGUUCUGGUGACCAUAUUUGCAUGGAAGACCUGCAAGGUACUUCAGGAGGAAGAGCUUCUGGUGAUUCA